CGCGCGAGCGGCGCGGGGCGCGGAGCCGAGGGAAGCCGAGGGGGCGGAAGCGGUCGCGACUCUUAGCGCGUGUGCUCGGGCUCCUCACGUGGCGGCCGGGGCCGCCUGUUCCCUCCCGCCUUCCGAGAGCAGACGCGCCGUCGCCUUCCGUGCCGCGCGGCUUCCUCCAGACCUCAGCGCGGGUGAGCCCUAUUUCUAGAGACAGCUGCUGCUGACCCUGUAACCCAAAGGACAAAAUAGCUGGCUAAACUCAUUCUUGGUACUGGUGCACACCAUGUCCUUGAAGAUUCAGACCAGCAAUGUAACCAACAAGAAUGACCCUAAGUCCAUCAACUCUCGGGUCUUCAUUGGAAACCUAAACACAGCUGUAGUGAAGAAGUCAGAUGUGGAGACCAUCUUUUCCAAAUAUGGCCGUGUGGCUGGCUGUUCUGUGCACAAAGGUUAUGCUUUUGUCCAGUAUGCCAAUGAGCGCCAUGCCCGAGCAGCUGUGCUGGGAGAGAAUGGGCGGGUGCUGGCUGGACAGACCCUGGACAUCAACAUGGCUGGAGAGCCCAAGCCUAAUAGACCCAAGGGGCUAAAGAGAGCAGCAACUGCCAUAUACAGCGGCUACAGCUUUGACUAUGAUUACUACCAAGACUACUACUGUGCCAGG
rnacentral:lncRNA from 1 species